rnacentral:rRNA from 1 species
GUCCACGCUGUAAACGAUGUCAACUAGCCGUUGGGAACCCUAGUGUUCUCGGUGGCGUAGCUAACGCGAUAAGUUGACCGCCUGGGGAGUACGGUCGCAAGAUUAAACUCAAAUGAAUUGACGGGGCCCGCACAAGCGGUGGAGCAUGUGGUUUAAUUAGACGCAACGCGAAGAACCUUACCAGGUCUUGACAUCCAGAGAAGUCGCUAGAGAUAGCUUCGUGCCUUCGGGAACUCUGAGACAGGUGCUGCAUGGCUGUCGU